UGGGGAAUAUUGCACAAUGGGCGCAAGCCUGAUGCAGCCAUGCCGCGUGUAUGAAGAAGGCCUUCGGGUUGUAAAGUACUUUCAGCGGGGAGGAAGGUGUUGUGUUUAAUAACCACAGCAAUUGACGUUACCCGCAGAAGAAGCACCGGCUAACUCCGUGCCAGCAGCCGCGGUAAUACGGAGGGUGCAAGCGUUAAUCGGAAUUACUGGGCGUAAAGCGCACGCAGGCGGUCUGUCAAGUCGGAUGUGAAAUCCCCGGGCUCAACCUGGGAACUGCAUCCGAAACUGGCAGGCUUGAGUCUUGUAGAGGGGGGUAGAAUUCCAGGUGUAGCGGUGAAAUGCGUAGAGAUCUGGAGGAAUACCGGUGGCGAAGGCGGCCCCCUGGACAAAGACUGACGCUCAGGUGCGAAAGCGUGGGGAGCAAACA
rnacentral:rRNA from 1 species